GACAGAUAGGAAGCCCAGCCCUGCUCUGUCCCUGAGGCUCAAACCCACCCUCCACUCCUGUUGCUGGGUCUUUCUUUCUGUUGCAUUUCUGAUUUCUUGUCUCUCAAUCUUUGUCUCAGUUGUUUUCCCUCAUCAAGUAUUUAUCUUCUAAAUCCUUCAGAAUCCACGUGGCUGUUUUCUAAGUCACUCUCAGUACUCGCUAGGUUUAAUUGCUGAAAUAAUUAUGAACUUCCCAAACUGUUCUCACAGAGCGCGGAGGCUGAGUUUUCUCCAGCCUGACUUACCACCUCCUCCUCCAGGUGCAGCCUGACAUCCUGUCCAUGCUUUCUCCAACUGUUCAUCACCAAAGAGCCCUCUUCUUUCCCUCAAACAGAUCAUUUGUACCCCGCUCAGUGGCCUGCCUUUCCCUUAAGGUGUUCUGAAAAACUGAUGACACCUUCAAAUAUUUGUCAAAAGCAUAAACACAGGAGUGGCCCAAACUAUCGGAAAGUAUUCUGCUCCUGAAGAAGCCCGGGAACGUGAGAGCCAGCCAGGAUCUUCCACUCAGCACCCCCUCCCACCUCCCCUUGAAGUGCUUGCCGUGGAGCGCCAUUUUACCAUCAAAUGCUGUGUGUGUAUACAGGGACAAGCUCAUGGUAUCUUAUGGGACAUGUGGCAGUGCAGGAAGAAUCUAGGAGGUGACUAGAGUGGAUCAGAUAGGUCUAGGCUGAGCAGGAAAUGGCUGGUUUGCAGCAGUUCACUUCCUGGCCUCAUGGCCUCCAUCUAUUAAGCUUGGUGACUUGUCAAACUCUGCUUUGGUGUAUGAGACAAUGGAAGUUUCUAGAGCAGAGGCCCUCAACCUUCCUGACACUGCAGCCAUUUAAUACAAUUCCUCAUGGUGUGCUGGCCCCCAACCAUAAAAUUAUUUUCAUUGCUACUUCAUAAUUGUAAUUUUGCUACUGUUAUGAAUCAUCAUGUAAAUGUCUGUGUUUUCUGACAGUCUUGGGUGACCCUGUGUAAGGGUCAUUCCACCCCAAAGGAGUCAUGACCCCACGGGUUGAGAACCACUGCUCUAAAGAAAUGCUGUGUGACUUCAGGGCAACGCCCACUGUUCACUACUGUUUAAGUCUUAAUGGGCCUCCUUCCAAUGUCUCGAGUACUCAAGAGAAAGUAGAAAUUACAGCAAAUACAAACUUGUUUUGAAAAAGAAGACCUUGGUCUGGAGAGAUGGCUCAGUGGGUAAGAGCACCGACUGCUCUUCCUAAAGGUCCUGAGUUCAAUUCCCAGCAACCUCAUGGUGGCUCACAACCAUCUCGUAACGAGAUCUGAUGCCCUCUUCUGGAGUGUCUGAAGACAGCUACAGUGUAUUUAUAUAUAAUAAUAAAUAAAUUUUUUUAAAGAAAGAAAAAGAAGACCUUCUGUUUGAAAGCUAGCAAUUUUGCCAUUUCUGUUGUUUCUAUCAAGACAGGAGG